rnacentral:rRNA from 1 species
UACGGGGGGAGCAAGCGUUGUUCGGAUUUACUGGGCGUAAAGGGCGCGUAGGCGGCCAGCACAAGUCAGUUGUGAAAUCUCCGAGCUUAACUCGGAACGGUUACAUGAUACUGUGCGGCUAGAGUGCAGAAGGGGCAACUGGAAUUCUUGGUGUAGCGGUGAAAUGCGUAGAUAUCAAGAGGAACACCUGCGGCGAAGGCGGGUUGCUGGGCUGACACUGACGCUGAGGCGCGAAAGCUAGGGGAGCGAACGGG